AAUGACUCUCGGCAACGGAUAUCUCGGCUCUUGCAUCGAUGAAGAACGUAGCGAAAUGCGAUACUUGGUGUGAAUUGCAGAAUCCCGUGAACCAUCGAGUCUUUGAACGCAAGUUGCGCCUCAAGCCGUCAGGCUAAGGGCACGUCUGCCUGGGUGUCACGC
rnacentral:rRNA from 3 species